rnacentral:rRNA from 1 species
GAUGAACGCUGGCGGCGUGCCUAAUACAUGCAAGUCGAGCGAACGGACGAGAAGCUUGCUUCUCUGCUGUUAGCGGCGGACGGGUGAGUAACACGUGGAUAACCUACCUAUAAGACUGGGAUAACUUCGGGAAACCGUAGCUAAUACCGGAUAAUAUUUUGAACCGCUUGGUUCAAAAGUGAAAGACGGUCUUGCUGUCACUUUUAGAUGGAUCCGCGCUGCAUUAGCUAGUUGGUAAGGUAACGGCUUACCAAGGCAACGAUGCAUAGCCGACCUGAGAGGAUGAUCGGCCACACUGGAACUGAGACACGGUCCAGACUCCUACGGGAGGCAGCAGUAGGGAAUAUUCGGCAAUGGGCGAAAGCCUGACGCAGCAACGCCGCGUGGGUGAAGAAGGUCUUCGGAUCGUAAAACUCUGUUAUUAGGGAAGAAAAGAUGUAUAAGAAACUGUGCACAUCUUGACGGUACCUAAUCAAAAAGCACCGGCUAACUACGUG